AUUGAACGCUGGCGGCAUGCUUUACACAUGCAAGUCGAACGGUAACAGGGAGCUUGCUCCGCUGACGAGUGGCGAACGGGUGAGUAAUGCGUCGGAACGUGCCGAGUAGUGGGGGAUAACGCAUCGAAAGGUGUGCUAAUACCGCAUACGUACUGAGGUAGAAAGUGGGGGACCUUCGGGCCUCACGCUAUUCGAGCGGCCGACGUCUGAUUAGCUAGUUGGUGAGGUAAAGGCUCACCAAGGCGACGAGCAGUAGCGGGUCUGAGAGGAUGGGCCGCCACACUGGGACUGAGACACGGCCCAGACUCCUACGGGAGGCAGCAGUGGGGAAUUUUGGACAAUGGGCGCAAGCCUGAUCCAGCCAUGCCGCGUGUCUGAAGAAGGCCUUCGGGUUGUAAAGGACUUUUGUCCGGGAGCAAAUGCUGGUGGCUAACAUCCACCGGAGCUGAGAGUACCGGAAGAAUAAGCACCGGCUAACUACGUGCCAGCCGCCGCUGUAACAC
rnacentral:rRNA from 1 species